GAUGAACGCUAGCUACAGGCUUAACACAUGCAAGUCGAGGGGAAACGACAUCGGAAGCUUGCUUUUGAUGGGCGUCGACCGGCGCACGGGUGAGUAACGCGUAUCCAACCUGCCCACCACUUGGGGAUAACCUUGCGAAAGUAAGACUAAUACCCAAUGAUAUCUCUAGAAGACAUCUGAAAGGGAUUAAAGAUUUAUCGGUGAUGGAUGGGGAUGCGUCUGAUUAGCUUGUUGGCGGGGUAACGGCCCACCAAGGCAACGAUCAGUAGGGGUUCUGAGAGGAAGGUCCCCCCACAUUGGAACUGAGACACGGUCCAAACUCCUACGGGAGGCAGCAGUGAGGAAUAUUGGUCAAUGGGCGAGAGCCUGAACCAGCCAAGUAGCGUGCAGGAUGACGGCCCUAUGGGUUGUAAACUGCUUUUAUAAGGGAAUAAAGUUAGUCUCGCGAGACUUUUUGCAUGUACCUUAUGAAUAAGGACCGGCUAAUUCCGUG
rnacentral:rRNA from 1 species